CGCGCCGCCGUUUUGUGCGUCGUCGUUUAUUCUGUCGUUAUUUCAAUAUUGCGUAUUGACCGUAUCCGUUUAUUUAAUGUGAUUUUGUAAAUUUUCUACUUCUAUGGCGAUUAUAUUAUUAAUUGUCGAUAUUGUGACAGUCUCAUUUUAUUUUGUGAUUUUUACACGGCGCCGUUUGUCGUGUGCCCGGAGGACUGCUUCGAUAACGAGAGUGCCGGCUCUAACGAUCUCUGACAAACGGAUUUAUCAAACGGAUAACGCGUUUUUUUUUCGUUAAAAAACACGACAAAAAACCCGUGCGUUUGACGUUUUCACAACAAUUAAGGAGUUUGUUGUAUCCCGAGGAAUGUUUCAAUAACGGCUCGCCCCGUAGGCCAAUCGGUUCUAAUGGAUAACGGAUUUAUUGCACCGACUCGCGUCCGUUGUGCCCAUACGAAUACGCUGGAAAUCGCUGAUGGUUUUAGUUUUUUAUUACGAGGGCAAUUCAAAUUUACACCGAACCCUAACCGACCCGAAGAGUGCUGGCUCUAAUUCAUAAUCGGUUGUAUUGCACGGAUGGUAUCCGUUGUGCUCUGAUGACUGUGCUGGAGAUUGUUGUUGAUAGUUUUAGAUUUAUUGCACAGAAUGAGUUGGUUGUAUCCUGAGGAAUGCUUCAAUAAUGACUCUGCCCGUAGGCCAAUCGGUUCUAAUGGAUAACGGAUUUAUUACAAGGACGGUAUCUGUUGUGCCACGAUAACUAAGCUAGAGAUUGAUGGCAGUCAUCGCUAUUGAAUUUAUUGCAAAGACUGUGCUACCAUUGUAGUUCCAGGAUAAAGACUGACCUAGAGAUUCAUGGCAGUCAUCGCUAUUGAAUUUAUUGCAAAGAAGGAGUUUGUUGUAUCCUGAAGAAUGCUUCAAUAAUGGCUCGGCCUGUUGGCCAAAAGUGCUGGUUCUAAUGGAUAAUGGAUUUAUUACGCGGGAAUCAUUACUACAAUCAAAUUCAUGUAAUUCAAAGAAUUUAUGGAACUCCCUAACGAAAUUACUUAUUAGCAUAAAGAAAUACAACAUAGCGGAUAUGAGAUUGUGUGGAGACCGCAAUACAAAUAAAUCGGAAUUUUAAAGCAGAAAAAACGUAAAAUCUCUUCCAGGUGAAGCUAUUUUAGUAUAUAGCUAGUUUAAUUCUAAAGUCCUAAAAAAGUAUAUUCAGCACGGUUACAAAUAUUUAGUACUUUAUUAUUUAAAAGAAAAUUAAGAAAUUUUUGGGGAUCUUUUGAUUACUUUUUUUAUUUAUAAAUGCUUAUUUGAGUGCUUUUUUUGUUUUAUAGUGCUUUUUUAAGCGCUUUUUUUUAUGAUUUUAAGUGUUAUAAGUCCCGAACCCUGGUCAUUAUCAAAUAUGUGUUAGUACAUGAUUCCAAAAAUAAUGUCAUUUUUUGAUAUUUUACGAGUUAUCUUUUAUUGUG